GAGGAGCCGGAUGUUCACAGAUAUUGGGAAAUGAAGAUUCUUGAAUUUCCCAAUGUUUUGUUGCCUUUUUGUGAGGACCGACGGAGGUGUCGAUACCGGAGGCUUGAAAAAGAGCCAUUAUGACAAAAGCAUAGGGGAGUGGCUUAUCGUCCCCAAUUGCAUCAUACAUGUGAGUCAGGACGAACUGGCACCAAUUGAUGCGAGCCCCGGUGAUUAUUGCGUGCAUGAGUUUUGAAUCCUCAUGAGAG
rnacentral:lncRNA from 1 species